rnacentral:rRNA from 1 species
AUUUCACUCUGUCGGUAGGCCUAACACAUGCAAGUCGAACGGCAGCACAGUAAGAGCUUGCUCUUACGGGUGGCGAGUGGCGGACGGGUGAGGAAUACAUCGGAAUCUACUUUUUCGUGGGGGAUAACGUAGGGAAACUUACGCUAAUACCGCAUACGACCUACGGGUGAAAGCAGGGGAUCUUCGGACCUUGCGCGAUUGAAUGAGCCGAUGUCGGAUUAGCUAGUUGGCGGGGUAAAGGCCCACCAAGGCGACGAUCCGUAGCUGGUCUGAGAGGAUGAUCAGCCACACUGGAACUGAGACACGGUCCAGACUCCUACGGGAGGCAGCAGUGGGGAAUAUUGGACAAUGGGCGCAAGCCUGAUCCAGCCAUACCGCGUGGGUGAAGAAGGCCUUCGGGUUGUAAAGCCCUUUUGUUGGGAAAGAAAAGCAGCAGGUUAAUACCCCGCUGUUCUGACGGUACCCAAAGAAUAAGCACCGGCUAACUUCGUG